GUGAGGAAUAUUGGUCAAUGGACGAGAGUCUGAACCAGCCAAGUCGCGUGAAGGAAGACGGUUCUAUGAAUUGUAAACUUCUUUUGUGCAGGAAUAAAGUGGGUUACGUGUAACCUUUUGUAUGUACUGUACGAAUAAGGAUCGGCUAACUCCGUGCCAGCAGCCGCGGUAAUACGGAGGAUCCGAGCGUUAUCCGGAUUUAUUGGGUUUAAAGGGUGCGUAGGUGGAUUGAUAAGUCAGCGGGGAAAGUUUGCAGCUUAACUGUAAAAUUGCCGUGGAAACUGUCGGUCUUGAGUGCAAAUGAGGUAGGCGGAAUGUGUUGGGUAGCGGUGAAAUGCUUAGAUAUAACACAGAACUCCGAUUGCGAAGGCAGCUUACUGGGAUGCAACUGACACUGAUGCACGAAAGCGUGGGUAUCAAACAGGAUUAGAAACCCUUGUAGUCC
rnacentral:rRNA from 1 species